CUAACAUAUAAUGCCUUCAGUUGAGAGGGUCAAGUAACAUACUGGAAAACAUUAGGCUGCACUGUUUGAUGUCAUUCAUGUGGAAAGUCUUAGAAGUUGUUUUAAAUUUGAAGUGAAUUUUAAUGGACCAAAUGAGAAAACACUUGGAAAAAUGUCAUAUGAUUAACUGUUUACCUGCUGAAGCAUAGACCAGUCCUGUUGGUGGGUUGCAGAAGAGGAUGAAAAGCCAACAAUAAUAAUAUCCUUCCACAACCACUAAAGCUCUGUGAAGAAAGUUGCAUAGAAGUGAUGCUGGGUAUUACAGAAUGCUGGUAGCUCUUCUGUCACAUGCAUCCUACUGUUCUUGAUAGACACUAGAGAGAGAAAGAGGGAGGGAGCCCUGCCUAUGCUUGGAAUCUCUCAAAGGUGGUAUUCUGGGGGAGAAAUGGCUCAGGAAGCCAAAUUCAAGAGGCAGAUCAACCAUCAAUAAUCCCUACAGGCCAGGAAUGGCCCAUAACGCGAGAUCUGUGGUUUUUAGUGCAGUCUUUAUUUGUGCUGUAAUCACUUCUGACAACGCGACACAAAGCGAGGAUUUCAAAGCAAGGGAUUGGGAAAAGGCACGACAAAUAAUGAGGCCUCUCCCACUACAAUUAGAUACAGGAGAUUCAGGUCAUUUAAGUUGCUCAUAAAUUGCAAAAUGCAGUCAGUUAGGAAGCUAUAAAUAGGCUAAAAAAAAAAAAAAGGCCUAAAAGGAAACAGUUAAAACCUCAUAUAUUAUGGGUGAGAUUGCAGAGUACACUGCCCAGGAAAGACACAUAAAAAUCGCUUAAGUGCUGAUCCCAACAUGUACAGCUGCAGUAAAGAAGGCAAACAGCGUCAUUGCAGGAGAUGUGGUGUCAAUAAGGGGGGCUGCCUUUCUCGGCGUCUGCUGUUUGGGGCAGGAGUGCAGGGCAGCUCUGCUCAGUGUUUCUUUGACAGGAAAUAGCCACCCUUAAUGGGAUGUGAGGGAGGUGAAUCCAACUGACACCAUAAAUCUUGGAGAUGUUGGUAAGCAUGAGGAAGCUAGGAUCCUUUUUGCUGCAGAAAGGAGACAGUUUUAUUGCUCUUUUUCAAGUGUGGUUGUUUUUUUCCCCGAAGUGAUAUAGGUGCCUAUUUUGAAACCACUUCAUUUAGAUACUGCAGUGACUGGAGAAUGUAAUCUCAAUGGGAGAAGCAAUCUGAGGUUUUGGGCAGGCUAUUCUAUGCAAACGUGAUCCAAACCAGCUGUCUGCUACCUUUAAAUAAUUCCCAGUAGUGUUUGGUGUGUUCACCCACAUGAAGUGUGCAAAUUCAGGCUUCCAGUACAGCUGCCUAGGCAGCGUUGACAAAAAGCUGCGUGGCAGAUGAUAGCUAACUGCUUCUCUGAACACUGCAUUUCCUUGUCCGCUCUUAACCAUGGCCUGAAGCAUCCCUCAGCUGCCGAAUCUAGUGGCAGUCAUCUGGAUGUAGGUGGUAUCUCUUGGACCAAGCAUUCCUGGGUGUGUGGAUGGCUCUCCAGGCUCUGCAGAACUGUGUGGGGAGGAGCAAGGAGGUGGGAAAGGGAAUGUGUGUCUGUCAAUGUAGUCCUUUUCCCAAUCAAUUUCAGGGUUAAUAUUUAUGUCUAGCUUGGGAGAACUUGGAAACCAAGUGUUACAUUUUCUGGUUUUUUAUAGAGCCGAUACAGUGGCCAAAAUCCAGUUCAAAGCUGCAGUCAGCACAGCAAGUGAGGCACUUAGCACCUCCCAAAGGACCUAGCACCUCCUGUGCUGACCUAUGUACCUUUCUUGUUGUUGUUAGGUUGUUUGUUUUUGUUUGUUUUGUGAAGGAAAUUAUGCCUGUGCCCAUUUGAUGGACAUACCUAUUAGAGGAUUGCACCUUUUCUGGAUAUGCUGGCUCUGUUUUUACAAUGUGUUGAUCACUGUGGUAUCUGAGCACUUUUUUGUGUUGAUAACUUCAGAGCUUCUGCUAAUGCCUGGAAUCGAUCUAACAUACAUCUAUUUCCAUUACUUUUCCCAUACCUGUUUUUCUACACCAGUUGGGUUUUUUUUUUUUUUAGAAGCUGAAUAAAAUGGUUUGUUGGGAUUCUCGUCCUCCAGAGCUGUGGAAGUUCUGCAGUAAAUGGGCUGGUGUAUGCAUCAUGCAACUAAGUAUUUGUGUAGGGUGGAGUUCUGUGCUUAUUUCUUAUCUAUGCAGACUACAAACGUGUUGCUACCUUGAGAUCAUUUAAAUAUUUCAUUUUGGUGCAGCAGUAGGGCCCCUGUCUUGGAGUCAGUUUCACAACCAUUUUAUAUGAACUGUCUGCUAUGGUUCUCAAUUCUUCUCCACCCUCUCUGCAUUACAGCUUUGCAUGCAAUCCAGAUGCUGAACUAUUAUGGGUGUUUAUUCACAUAUCAGUAGAAGAGAAAUUGAAUGUGGUAUGCUGAGGGUUUCAUAUGCGAUGCAUUUGAUUCCCGAUCAAAUUUCCUGAGUCUGAGAAAUAAAAGCUUUUCCUGCUGUAUGGAAAGGCUGCAAAUUCUCCUGUAUCUGGAACACAGUAAAUUUCAUUUCUUAUGCAUGUUGCUAAUAGUAAUUGUGCCAAUUCCAUUCUGCUCUUAAUCUCAUUCUUACUUCUGUGUCUGUGUCUGUAAUCCUUACUUGGAUCAUCCUCAGUGUUGAUACAAAUAAUAAUGAGGGCAUCCAUCCCUUUGGGCAUGCCUGUAGGUUUCAGUGGAUCAUUGUAGGUGUGCUGUCAGUGAAAUAGCGUAUGUAUAAAAGAUGAAAGUUUCUCAAGGAAAGAAGUUUUUUGUAUCCAUGGAAUGGUGCUAUGGAAAUAGUUCAGUUUUAAUUGCUCAAGCUGUAUGAAAUGGACUCACUGACAACUCAUUUGGCUGGUGCCUCCAGUUCUCAUUCCUCACCUUGUCUUUUAGCAUGGUCUGUGAACAGAGCUUUGAGUUCUUCUGCAGACUUCCUUACACUUGAUUAAGGCUUUUCCCUUGAGAAAGGUAAGGUUACAAAGCUGAUGGUUAAGCAAGAGUUUCCCAGACUAAGAAUGAAGAAAAGUGAGUAAUAGGAGUGAUACUAAAUUACCAUGGAACUUCAGGGAACUUCUGAGUGAAAAAAUUCCAAGAGCGGGGGGUAUCUGGUUUGUGCUAUUUAUAGGGGAAAUGGAAAGUUGCACUUCGGAAAUUGAAGAUUCAGAGUACAGUAAUGCAGACUUUGGGAAAUGUUCAAAUGGAAACUUGUCUGCAACAAAUUGCUGUAAUGAUCAGCAUAAAUGUGUUUUAAUUUGGAUUAAUUACAGCCUGGAAAGACUUUACUUCUAAAUAAACUUCAGGAAAAUGUCAUUCAUAAUGAAUAUACUAAAUAAACUUCAGUAUAAAUAAAUGGGUCGUAGCUCUCCUUCCCACUGAAGGCUUGCUGUGUUUAGAAAAUGUAAACAAAGCCCUGCAUAUAUUCUAUACCUUAAGGUAUUUACGUAAUGACAAAAGAUCACUUUUUCAUUUUCCAACCAUGACCAAGGGAUUGCAAAGCAAUCAAACUUUAACAGCCAAUUAAUCUCUCUAGAUGAUGUUUGUGUAGCACUUAACCAGUUUCAGUAAAUUAGUUCCCUGUAGGCUGGGCUGUUACAUUGAUAGAAAUGUUAGUGCUAGCUGGAGGCAUUCAUUUACUAGUUUGUAAGAACAGCAGUAUUGAGAAAUCAUGAGCAUAUGGAAACAAACUCUGUACCUUUUUAAAAGAAAUGCUGUUUGUAAAGAAAAGGAGAUCAUGGGAGUCACCCAGCGUGGAGCCUCUCUAAAUGAGUAGUUUGUCAGUUCUGUAGGACUUCAGAGACUGCUCUUAAAUUCCCUGUAAGAAACAUAAGAAAUCCAUUGGGAGGCAGCUGUGGCUAAAGAAAGAUAAUUCACUGCAAUAGCAUCCUCUUAAGCAAACUAUUAAAGGAGUAGAUUUUCCUGAAGUACUUCUCUUCACCUAAGCACAAUAUGCUAAAAAUCAUUAAAAAGAAACUGUAUCCAGGAGAGUAAAAGCUUUCAGCAUAAGUGAGAUUUAAAAUCAGGAAAUUAUCUUAGAAGAAAGCUGGAAACUUUCCCUUUUUCAAGGGUGUUCAAGGCAUCUACGUUAAGUCUGCAGACUCUGAGUUAAGCCCACAAAGCACAUCUGCAGAUAUCGAAGUGGAGGCCUGCAUGACCCAUGUCUCUGAACCCAGGACAAAAUAGCUGCAAUUACCAAGCACUGAGUUCUGCAUAGGUCUUCUGCAAGGAUAUUAAUGGUUUCCAUACCAAGCUGGUGUAAAGAUUUCCUUGUCUGUGAUGAGGCUUGGAGAGAAAGGUACUGAGGCUCAUCAGUGAGUUCAGUUCUGUCUGCUCCUUACGGUGCAAUUCUAGCUGGGAGCAGGGCAGGGAUGGUGCAUCCAAGUGUUCCUGUUCACAACUGUUUGUGUUGCAUGCACAGGGAGGAGGCAGGUGACUGAAAACAGCUCAGGAAGAUCUUCCUAUCCUAAGAAAUGGGUGCAUGUCUUGAGAAAUUAAUUCCUGCAGAAUGAAGGCACUUGGUAAAAGUCUUGUCUUAGACUGCUGCUCUGGAGGCAGGUGUGGAGACAGUGACGUGGGUUAGGAUCACACCCUGAUGUUGGCACGGUGGAUAUGGAAACUGUUUAAAAAAAAAAAAAAAAAAGAGAGAAAAAAGCUUUUCCUGGUAAGGAUAGGAGGCUGUGGAAAUGCAGAACUUGCUGCUGUCUGGGAUAUGUCAGCUCUAAGAGUGCCAUGGUCAAACUUAUAUGCGGGCCAGUUGGUUUAGAUAUCUAUAUUUAACGAACGGUGAACGUGCUCUGUGUGUCUGGAAACUUGUCUUUGAGAAAUAGGUUCCCCAAACCCUGCAGUGAGACUUCAGUUCCCAGGCUUGAUUUGCUACGAGGUGUGUGUGAGUAGCUGAAGACCAGAAAAGCCUUCUCCAUUCUGUUGGUUUUUGCCGAGGAAAGGGCAGGGCUGUGAGCACCCGCAGAGAGAGGCAGGUGGUAGCAAAUACGAGCUGACCUUUGGAUGAGACAUUCUGCUUUUUUCCUUCUGACCCUUAGAGAGUAUCACUCAGUGGCUCGUGGCCAUAUGGUGCUUAGCAGAAUAAGGUUUAAUUAUAUGGUUAGAAAGGCAGCACAUACACUUGGAAGGCUGAAGUAAAGGUGAUAGAACAAGCUGCUAGUAAAGGAAGUCUGUUUCUGUAUCACAUUCUUGUCUAGGCCAAUCAUAGCCCAGGAAUGACGUUGUUUCUUUUGACACAGUUGCUCAUGUUGGCCUGAUUGGCAGGACUGGGGACUUGCUGUGGUGCUGAGAACAAUUCAAGCUCCUUAAACUUUAGUGUAGGAGUGUUGUAUCUACAGUGGUUGUCCAGGGCUCUCCCUUGGUCAGAACUGAUCCUGACUUCUACUGAGCUUUCUGAGAUGCUUUCCUUCUAGUGUUUUUUCAAAUGCUGCUCUGGGCUUUUCUAAUGAGUACAGGAGAAUGAUAACUUAGCUGCCACUUCAGGUUGUUCUUUGGGUAACUGAAGCACAAUGGGAGAUGCCUUCAUUGCUAUUGCAAUGCAGCAGCUCUAGUAGAAGAAAGGAGGUAAAUAAUAACCAUGUAAGCAGUAAGUAGCAUAUGUGGAUACAGAAGACCAAAGGUACAGGCCCUUGUACCUGUGUCUAUGUUUUUACAGGACUUUUAAUGCAAAUGUGUACAUUUAGAAAUUCUGCCCAAAAAUAAAUAGGAACUCCACCUGAUCCUGUAGCAAUUGUAGCCUUUGCAAAAGUGGGCAGGAAGGUUGAGAGUGGAGACUGUGGGCAAAUCAUAGUUUAGAACACAGGAAGCCUGUAUUAUAAAUGUGCUAUUCAUCACAGUUUCCUAACAAAGACAUGGUCUGAAUGGUUGGUAAUGAAAUGCUUUCUCAGUGCAGUAAUUUUACUUACUGUUUAGAUAUGCUAUUGACAAGUUUAGAUAGAGGCUUUUUUUUUUUUUCCUCGAGAACAGAUGAACAGCUAAAUGUAUUGAAUAAAAUUUCAACUUCUUAAAAUGACAUGCUGGGAAAAUAGAUGCAUCUUAGUGAUACUUGGCUCUAGGGGUGAAAUGAAAGAACAGAACCGCAGGACUCUUUCCAGCUAGGGGGAGUUCUGACAAGGUCAUAUAACAAAAGCCUAAUAUCAUCACUCUGGGUUUCUAGUUAUUAUUUCAGUAUGUGCUCUGACCAGUGAAAGCAUUGCUAAUUUUGUUUUGUGCAGCUGUCCUCCAUGUCAGGAGUUCAUAUCUUUGCAUUGUUGGAUCUUGCACUCUCUGAGAUGGGCCUGCUUUUUUUCUAUCUCUUUAACAGUCUCAAAGCUGCUUAUUGCUGCUGAAAUGAUCCUCUCAUAGUUUCAGCAGAAAGUGACAACAGCAUAUUUUUCUGCAACUUAAUAGUUGGAUAAAGCUCCUUAAAGGUUAUGCCAUGUAUCUGCUAAGUAUCUUCGCUCUACAAUGCAGGCAGGCAAAUGCAUAUAACUUUUAUAUAGCAGUAUACAAUCAAAUGAUGUUAAAGCAAGAGUGAGUGAUGUACAGAUGCAAAAGGUGGUGCUUUGCCUUUGUUCAAAUGUUACACCUUUUCAGAACGUUUUAAUGAGGUGGGAAGCUGCAGAAGGAAAACCAUCUGACACUUAGGUGUCUUUUCGUGAGAUCUGCAACUUGGGAGACUGCUAGCCAGGAAGGCCCAAGUUGACACACUGCUUCCUUCACCUUCACACUUGCAAGCACCAAUGGCCACUCAAAGUUAUUGAAAUAGUUUGUGAAAACCUUAAUGACCUGUUGUUAUCCAAAGUAAGGCAGCUGCGGUUUCCCAGAGGAAGCCAAAACUGCAGAAUUUAAGUGUGUGGUGCAAGAUGCUCCAGGGAGCAACUGAAGUUGCACUGAAGUUUGGAUUACCUUCAUAGGACCAAUUUUUAGUGGUGGACUGGUGGUUUCAUGUGACUUUUAGAAUGCCCUUCCUUAGAAGCGUUGCUCACUAUCAAAAUUAUUGACUAUAUUUUAUACCAGAAUUUCUAAACAUACACAUUUGCAUUAGAAGUCCUGUAAAAACAGAGACACAGGCAUACUUAAAGCAUUUGCUUUCCAUUUUCCUCAGGCAAGUGUGUUGCAACUCUCUGAGACUUGCAGCUGAUUUCUGCGUGAACUAGAUCUGUCAGGUAAUAAUUACCAUGCUGACAUGCUCAUCUUACUCUAUAAAAGAGAGGGGUGCUCAGUUCAAUAAUCAUUUAGCUCAGAUCAUGGUGAUAUUUCCACCCCCCCCACCCCCCCUCAGUCAUCUCUGUCACCCCAGUGGUCCAAAAUUCAAACUAUAUCUUGGUUGGCGCAUGAAUUAUGCUUGGUUUCUCUAGAGGUGUUACUCAAAGCUAUGACUCUUAGCUGGUGGAAUAACAAACAUCGGUAUGCGUACAGGAUUGAUGUCUUUGAGCAUCUGCUCAGAUCACUGUUUUGAGAUUGCUAGAUACAAAGCAAAAACCUCAGUGAUUUGUUCAUUCAGUAGUGUAGGAAAUAGCUGACCUGGAUAAACAAGCUUAAUGAUCCGGAGAGGCAGGUGGCUGUAGGGUUUUUUAUGUCAGAAGUGGAACUGACCACCUAGGUACAUAUUGUGAAGUGAAAGCUUUAAGUUUAGAUUUGAUCCGAUGGAUCAGACCAGUUCAUACCAAUUUGUCUUGGGGGGGGGGGGGCUUGACAACCCCUUUUCCAGGACCUGAGAAACUGUCGGUGUUCAGAUUCAUUUAGAGAUGUUCUUAAGGUGCACUGCUCCCAGAGCUGGAAGGAAAACAGCAAGAUUUUCCUGUAACUGCUAUAGGUAGCAAGGAGAGAUGCAAACUACAACAAUGGCUGAAAAAGCUACAUGAAGCAAAUAACUUGGCUUCAGCUGCCAUGAAUUAAUUUACCUUUUGGUCCAGUAAGGUUGUGGUUAGAAUUGCAGUAUGGAUACGGAGGCGCAAACAGUUCCUUGUAUCAGAAGCUUUUGGGUUUAGGCCAAUGUGCCCAAUUUAAAGAGUUCAUGAACAGAAAUUCGUAACUUGGAAUUUCAAAGGGUGAGGGAGCUCUUAGCAUUGCAUUGCUUUGUGAAAAGCAUUGCAGAAUGGGACAGGCCUGCCGUGUAGGGGAAACAGCGAUCCUGUCCCUUCUGGAAUGUAUUUGUUAGCUUGGUCUUGAUGAGAACUCUCUGAAGGUAAAAUAGCACACAGUCAUCCUGACUUGAAUCUGGUGCUUAAGGCAGUGAAGGGAGUUAAAGUUGUUUAAAGAGAAUUCUUAAGAAGAUAUAGAUUUUCCUCAUCCUUUUUCACCUCUCCGGACUGCGUGGCACCUACCUCGGGCAAAGUGGGGGGAAAAACAUCCAAUGCCCCUGUGUGUUCUGGAAUAACAGCUCUGCACUAGGAAAAAAUACAUUCCAUCAUAUGUGCGUGUAUGUGUGAACAAGCUGCAGUAAUCUCUGCCCCUGGAAUUGGCUCCAGUCCAGAGUCUGACUUACGUUGCAGGGCAGAGCAGGUGGUGUCUUUGCUCAGUCUCCAAUUUCAGAUUGCACGUUAUCUUUAGGGCAGCUUUAGCUUCUAGCCAGCACUCUGUUGGAAGCCUCUUGAUGCACACCAUCCGGUAAAAACACCAAGUCAGCCUAGUUUGAUCCUGUCCUUUGAGGCAGUGGUGGUGAGGAAGUUACUGUACAUGUUGUUCUGCUGUGAGCUACUUCAAAUGGCCUUUUAACUGGGGACCAUGAAUGAGGAUCCCAGCAGUGGCUCAUCAGCACUAGAUCAGGUCCUUAGAGUUGUGCUUUGUGGAAAUGUUCUAGUGCCAAGGAGAGCUUUUAACUCUAGAACUAUUCUGUGAUACUAUUUCCCCAUGUUAAUCGUAUCUCUUUUAGUCAGAAAGGGUACCUUAGUUGUAGACUCUUUCAGCAUGGAUGGCACUUGAUAUCUCUAACCACACUUUUUUCUUCUAGCUUUUUACUUCCCUCAGUGCUCUUUUGGGAUUAGAAGCAGAACCGAAUGCAGUUUAGAGGGGGGGGAGAAAUAGAAAAGCUACAAAUGUGAGCAUACCAUGGAUUUGUGGUGACAGACAUGAAGGUAUUUUCUUUCCUUCUCUGCUCCUUGAAGUGUUGUUCCUCUGAUGCAUUUUUCCUUUGUUGAUGAAUGCUGAGCUAACGCUUAUACAAGACUGUCCACACAUUUCUCUUCUGAGUGGCAAUAGCUGAUCUAAUCACUGCGUAUCGUGGUUGGAUUGAUUUCCCCAUCACGCCUGCAGAGCACAACUUUGAAGUUACUGAUGCUGAAUUCCAUCAGAUAAGGGCCUCUGGUCUCUGCAAGAAACUUUGAGGACUAGCCAAGGAAAUUUAGAAGUCACCAGGCAGGGAAUAGAAUUAUUUUGUAUUUUGAGUUGUUGGCUUUGGCAGAAUCACUUUCAUCUGUUCACACCUCUGGGUUAUUAAAGCUUGCCCCCCCCCCCCCCCCAAAAAAAGGGGGGUGGGAAGAGGGACACCCUAAAGAGAGUGCUAGCUGUUUGCUCUUUUGGGCUUAUAAGUACUACUUUUAAGAAUGGUUAAGAAUGACAAACUUGGUUCCCAAGGCUGGGGAAUAUCUGAGGGUGUGCCAACUAAGGCAGUGUCGCACCCUUAGCGUGACUGUGGUGUAAGGGUUGGGGAGAGCAAGUGUCCAUCCAGCUGGAGAAGCAGACUCGCUGCAUAGUCUCUUGGCACCAACCUUCUUGGAAAUGUCUGGAAUGCUGUACACAAAAGUGAAGAAGCUUUAAAUUUUUAAAUGAUCUCAUUAGCCCUCAUCCGAAGCAUAAUAGCAAUACUUAAUUUGUUUUACAAUUAAUAUUUUUAAAACUCCUUGGUUGUGCUUUAUCAUUUUGCCAAAUACUCAGAACAUGCUGUGCCACAGGCUAAUACUUUCCUCAGUGUUCCUAUUUACCUUUGGUAAAAACGAGUCACAUCAGAAGCAGCAUGUGCACAAGAUACAGUCUCAAACACUAGGAUGUAGUUUUUGUUUUCUGUGCCUAUUGACUACUAUAGCCCUAAGGUUUUCAUACUGACUAUUAAACGUAGAAUGCUAUAACUCACCAAGCACUGUUUAUUUGUUAGGGCUUUAAGCUUAUCUUUACUAAUAUUUCUACCAGUUUUACUGUGUUCUUUGCCUUGCAGCAUUUCCAGAUGUUUGAACUGUAAAACCAACACACCUCUGUGAUUCCUCUUUUCCUGCUCUUGCCCCUUUUCUAAAAUAUUGUAAUACAGCAAUGGGGAAUGGUUCAAAAAAAAAAAGAGUUCUUGGACUCUGAUACUGAGAUUGGUAAUGCUUCUGUAAAAUGUUCCAGCAGUUCUGGCUGGGAUGGAGGGGAUAGAGGGACAAGUAAAGAGGUGUGACCAAGUAUCUUAUGAUAAAUGUGCAAAAAAUGCUCAGGAAGAGAAACUAAGAUCUGCAAGCAGAAGACUUCAGCAAAAAUUCAAGUUCAAGCUCUGUUAAAUGAAGCUAGAUAUUUUGCAUUGACUAAAAUCAAAGUGCAUCAGUAAUAGCAGUUCACCCUCUUUACCAGGACCAGCUGAUUCAAGGGAACUGCAAAUCAGGGCCAGCAGGCUGCUCAGGAGCUCAGCAGUAAAUGUGGAAACAGCUUGCUGUGGUUACGAUAGCUCAGCUGCUAUAGAUGCCUCCAACGUGUUACUACCUGAAGAUACCACCACUGUUGGCUGAGCCAUGUGCUCUGCAUCACCUCAGGCAAUGCUGGGAUCUGCAGAGUCAGGAAAGAGGGUAAGGAAGGUGCAUAGAUGAGUAUGAGGUGAAAAGCUUUGUGGUGGGCUGGGACUGUAGGGCUGGAAGAAAAGGAAAUGAUGCUGAGAUUAGGGAUGGCAAGAUGUGCCAUAAUGGAAGGGAAGAGGCAAGACCCCAAGACUUAGGGUGACCUUUGGGCAGACAGACUUGGAGUCAAGAAAUAAUAAAACAACAAAGUUUCUGAUCCUCAGAACUAUUUUAUCUUCUGUCUCAGACUGAUCCCGUUUCCUCAUCUGUCAUCCCUCCCUCUAAACAGCAAAAGCUCCAUGCAACAGGGUGUUAUCUCUUGAAUAUUACUGUGAAUUAGAAGGAAAUCUGCCUGUGUCAUAGGCUUUCUUGUGAAUGUACCAUGGUACCAUGCACGCGUGCAGUUGUGCUAGCAGUGCCCUUGCCAGGAGGUUCAGGAAUGGUUAGUGAUGUGGGCAAGUCAUAACUGAGGACUUGAGCAGGUUUUGAAUGAAGGUAGAAAAUCAGGUAGAGAUCCUUGUUCUGAAUGAAAUAGCGCAUGGUAGGCUGCUUUGGAGGGACACAUGAUGGUUGGUGCUCGUAUGUUGUCAGCUGCUUUUUCAAAGCCUCAAUUCAGAGUUUCUAAACUAACAGAAUACUGAGUAAAUGAAAUGUUUGACAAAAACAAAUCUGUCAGAGGAAUAUUACAGCUCCUCUUUAUGGGAGGAUGUUUAAAAUGUGGGAAUUAUAUGGGAGAGCUGCUUAAGAAAAGGAAAUGCUGUGAUAAUAUUUCUGUAUGUUUUGAACGUAUUUCAUCCCCUCAGUUCUUGAUAUGCUGUUGUCUGUGAGUGAGGUUCUGCACAAUCUCCCAGGAAUGAAGAUGGAAGGCUGAGAUGCAUGUCCAUUUAUAUGCAUCGAAGGAUUUAGUCACAGACAGAGUAGACAGUUAUGUAAAAUAUAUCCUGGGGAAAGGAAUUAUGGUGCAACUCUUUUCAUGAUGAGAAUUUUAAAAUAAAAAAUUAAAAUGUUUAGAUGAACCUUGCUGGUGAUAGUGAGCUCUGCACCUCUCUUCAUGAACUCCAGAAUCCUUUAAUCUUUUGCAUUUGCUGCAAUUGCACCUACUUCAAAGUGUUGCUGCAGGCAUUGGGAAGGGUUCUCGCACUCAGAGGGAAUAGGGCGGGGAUGUGAAAUUCUGUCAUCCCUUGGAAGCUGCAGCCAUUUCUGAAGUGCCAGUGUGAACUAUCUUAACAAAAGGGCAGCGACAUCACACAACUGGUUUGGGAAAGCAGAGUGACAUGACUAUACUGGCUGUAGUUACGAGUAGUUUUUUCUGUUAAAACAGGUUUGGUUUGUUGUUUAUUUAAUAAAAAAAGAAACACAAAAACCAACCACUUUAUAUUGAAGUCUACUUGGAAAAUAGUCUUCGGAGGGAGCUGAAUAUCGCACGGUAAUGAUAGCUGGGCAUGUAUAUGGAUAGACGCCAUUCUGCCUCAUGGUUUUGAAACCAGCCCUGGGUGCAACUCAGCCUUCUAUCAACCCAGCCAUUGCUGCGUGGGGCUCACUGUGGCAGAGGGGCCUGGGGUGAAGUGGGACAGAGGGGUGAAAAUGUUAAUUUGCGGAGUUGGGGCUGUAAGUUUUAGUCAAAAUUCAAACCAGCUUUAUUAUUAUUGCUCAUACCUCUCAACUGAUCUUUCAAGAAAUAGUCUACUUUAGUAUGUUUUAACUGUUAGGCGAGCUGAAUGAAUUCAUUCAGCAGAAGCUGAGGGUGGCGGUGCCUUACAAGGAGCAAAUCCUAUGCUGCUGGCAUCAGUAGGAGCAGUACCUCAAAUCUUUUGCUGAGUACCAUGAGAACGAUCCAAGCAGUAAGGAAAACACUUGUUUUUCAAGCUCAAUUUUUUAUAUGCAUACAUGAGAAGAGAAUAUCAUUUACCAAUACCUUGGCGUCAUACUUGUUCAUGUUUUGAAGGAAAGCCUCCAUCAUUGUUGGCAUCAGCGUGCACCGCGUUGUGCUCUAGCAUAUACAAGUGAUGCUUUGACUUGCAAAAUUACAAGAUAGUGCUCUUCAUUGAAGGAGUUUAAUUGUGGAAGAAGCUGUAAGUUUUUUAUGGUACUUAGAUUGUGUUUUAUCUUAAAGGCCAUAUUAAAAGCAUUCUACAAUUAAGUCUCAAAUGAAUUAGGCAUUGUAAUGCAUUUCAAGCUGCUGUUGUUGUAAAGAAUUACAAUCCUUGAAGUAUAAAAAGUGACUAAGCUGCUUUUAAAAGUGAAAUUGAAGUGCACUACAGUUGUUUAUUGUGCAUUGCGUUUAAGUGAUGAAUUCACAUAGUGCUAGGAACAGAAGGCAGUUUUCAAGGUACUUCCAAGGUUGGAGAGAUCUAUUUUUUAAUAGUCAAUGUCUCUUCAGCUAACCUGUACCCCUAAUCUUCUCCUACUAAAAUGCAAUGAAAGCGGAAUUGGAUGGAAGGAUGUUUUAUGUGUGGAUAAAGUACACUUUAAAAUAAUGCUCAAACUUCUUAUUUUUGUUUUACUGCAACAGCUCUGUUCCUUCUCCAUAUGAGUGCUACGAGUUCAUACUCUCAAUUAACUUAUGCCCUCAUGUUGGGAAGAAAGAGCAGUUUCCAAUUCAGAAAGCAGAAGAAAUACGGAUUCUAGUGACUAGAAGUUGGGGUUUUAAAUUAGAAUAGUAUAUUGAAGGAGUAACAUGUAAAUUAAAAACUAAUUGUCUCUAAGAAAUCUAAGUCCAAUUUUUAACUGCUGUUGGAAAGGAAGGAACUUGACUGUGCUUUUAUCUGUAUUUAAUAAACUUGAUCUUGGUUUACAGUUCCUUCUGUUAUGAAAGAUCAAAGAGUAUUCAAAGCUGGUAUCUUCUCGGAUUUUGCAUGUUUAAUGUGAUGUUAUUCUGUUUUUGGUAUUGGAGACGGCACUGCUUGCUCAAGGCAGUAAGAUGAGAGAAGGUAGCUAUUAUUGGGUCUUUGUGUUACCCUCUGUGUUAACGUUAUAGGUGCCCUAGCAGAAUGAAAACUAGUCAUGCCGUAUGACUUCGCUAUUUCGCUUAGCAUGUUCUGAAGUUACCAUAUUGUUAGUAAGAGAGUUGUAUGUGCUUGUUUCUGGAUUUUUUUAUAAAGAAAAGCAUAUAUAUUGCCCAGUGCUUUAUACAAGUCUAUAAUCUUUCUCUACAGAGGCAGUGAAAUCCAUAGGCAAUGUACAGUAAUCUUAGUCUGAAGUUAGUCCACUUCAUACUUAAAAAAUGACACAGCAUAGCCAAUACUUACAUUAAUUCAUUUAUGUCUAUUACUGAACAUGACAGCGUUCACAAGGAACAUGUGUUCCUAAGUAAUCUUGAACAGGGCACAACCUCUUACCUGCCAAGGCAAGAACAGAUGAAGAAUUACUGCACAUCUGUACUAGAACAGUUCAUGAUGUCACACUGUAGCUUUCUACCUAGGUAGUGUUUUAUAACUGUCAUUGCAGUAUUAGUGUUGGAUUUUUAAUUGCAUGAUUGAAAUACAAAGACUUCUAUCAGUGUACUGUAUUCCACAAAUGUACUGAUGUGUAAUUGUAUGUGUUUAACUGUGUUUUUGUUGCAUAAUUGUGUGAGUUCUGGGAUUACUGAGUAGAAGAAGCUAUUAGCAACUAUAAAGUUAUAGGGUGAACAGAUUCUUUAAAAAAAAAAAUGAAUGAGUAGACCUAUAUACCAUCUUCCAUUUUUUUUUUAGCCUUGCCUGAUAUGUACAUCUACAACUAUUUGAGACUAUCCAUAAUCAGGUUUGGCCACAAAAUUUUAUUUCCCUUUUGAUGUUUGCUGAUGUUUUGCAUUGUCCAAGAUAAUAUAAGGUAAAAAGAAGUUGAGCUGAGAUGGGUGGAAUGUUAGAUAACCAGAGGAAAAAACUCGCAAAACCUUCCUACUGCCAAUUUUUUCACCUGCUUAUUUGUUUUCCUUUUCUCUUUAAAUAUAUGAUUGCUGUGCUUGAUAAGACUUGCUUACUCUCUUUCCUCGAAGCUGCAAAAUCUAAUCUUAGUGGAUUGCAUAGUGGAGUAUUUGGAGAAACUAAGAAAUGCCAGUAACAGUGCUGUAUCAACAAAAUGUGGUUUAGGGCAGUCUGAUUCUGCGAGCUCAGCAGUCCUAGACCAGGCUGAUGCUUGGCUGGAAGCCACCUGGGAACCCUGGGUACUGUAGGCACAACCCAAGAGGUCAAGAUCAAACUCCUGGCAAAUAUUAGACCACAGAUGCUGAAUGAGCAGAAAGACUUCAUUCAGCACCAUCAGUGCUGCUGGGCUGACAGAUGGGAAUAAACUCCCACUGACAUCCCUUUCCUCCUCAGCAGCGAAAGCGUUCUGUUGCUGUGAAUGGCCAAUCGUACCCAGGCAGCAGCAUUCUGCAGUUGUCUCGUUUGGGUCUAACGAUGCUAUGCAUUAUUUAUCCAUAAAUGGAAAAAAUGUUUUGAGGAAAGCUAAAGAAUUCUGUUUUGUGUUUCUCUCCUGAGACAAUGUGGGACAGAUAUUACUGGGGGAUAAUGGGAGAAGUGUGGACCUUUGGCUGAAAAACCAGGCUGCGAACUGGGUUUUGCUAAUUCCAUCCUAAUGUGUGGUUUUGAAGCAGAAUUGUCAUGAGGAAGUGCUGUUACUAUAAAAAUAUAUAUCCGCUACAUUUGUCUUUGUUAUUUCGCUGUAGUAGGAAUUAAAGGGAAAAUGAGAAAUAAGUUAACACCGUGGGACUGCUGGGAGCCAAAUUUUCAGCCUUUAUGACUGUCUGGCAUUAUGAAAGAAUAUUAUGAAUGCCUGGCAUUCCUAAAUCUGUUAUAGCUAAUUUGUCCUGCCUUUUCAUACUCUUUUUGACUUUUUAUCUGAUAAAGUGUAUUUUUGACUGUUGAAAGGUGACAUGAAACUAUUCUGCAAUUCAUUUUUUGGAAUAGCUUUGCAGAUUUACCAGAUGAAUAGUGCUGAGAAAAGACAACUAUUUUUCACCUGUUUUCUCAGAGUUGGCUGGUGACCUCUCUUGAUAAUUUAUGCCCUCAGAAGAUUUUUUUUUUCCUUUGGAAAGAAGGCUUGGAAUGCAAAGAUUAAAUUUCACUGAGGUUUAAUCAGAUUUUCACAAAAAGUUGAGCCAGAAGAAAUGAGCUCAGCCAAACUGAGUUCUGAAGAUUCUUGUACCACCCCUGAAUUAGAGCAGGACAGAUGAGCUCUCAGCUGCCGUUACUGAUUGUUUUUGGUUUUUUUUCCUGGUCUAACUGUGGUGAUGCUGUCUAAACACUUCUGGAGAAAGCCAACAUCAGCAGAAAUGGGAACUUAGUGGAAGAUCCAUGUCGUGUUCAUUGACGGACCAUAGGGGGGUUCAUUGCUGUGUGAGAGGUGUUGAGAUUAUCCUCAUGUGUGGUGCUGCUCAGCAGCUCUCAGCUCAAUACUUACGCUGUCAGAUCUGUGCUUUUGGAGGGCUCUUGAGUGGGAUCCAAGGUACAAGUCUUUUACAGCAUGAUGUAAUAUUGUUACUGCAAGUCAGAUCACCUGCAGUUCUGCUGUAGGCCAUUACCUGACUCUGUAGGUCAUUCCUUUGUUGUUCGGGCACCAGUAAUGCUUUGCAACUUUUAGUUUUCUUCAAACAUAUUUUCUUCCAAAGAUUACUCUUGUACUGCUACUUUAAAAAAAAAAAGGCAAGAUGAUGGAGUAAUCCUCUCACUAAGUCUACAAAACACACUGUUGAAGAUAUGAUCAUACAGAGGAAGAAUAAAAAGAUAGUUCUCUUAAUGCUAGAAGUCCACCUGUGUGCUGUUCACCAGUGUUCAAUGCUGAGUUAUUUGCCUCGUGAAGAUAUAGUGCCUCAACUUCAUUUAUAGGUUGCACUUAUAAAAGCCAAGAAAUACCAAUUUUCCUGGGUCAGAUCUUCACAUCAGUGUGCCGGGGGGAAAAGCAUGUCAUCCCAUCCAGAGGGCUGCUUGUGAGAACUGGCCUGCUGGGAGAGCUCAGUGCCUUGCACGUGGUAAGGCAGACAAGCCACAGUGAUAAGGUAUCCCACACGCUGUGCAUGGCUAACGCUGCUUUUUCAGCUGAGUGCACGUGUGGGAACAACUUGUGCUACUAUCUGCCCUGCAUCUUAAUGUUUGUUUCAAUCCCUAUUCUUUGAAUACUGUAGAGUUAAGAUUAUGCACGAACCAGCUUGGUAAACUUGGCCAAUUCUGGCUUUAUUCAUGAAGGCAGUUCUAAUGUUCCCUGACAAAUUGUUCCAGAGAAAGUGUUUUGUGAAAUACAAUAUCUGCCAGUUUCUUGCUACCAAACUAUAUUCCUAUUAGGACACAGCGUUAAUGAUUCAGUACAAAAUACAAUGCCUGGUGCGGAGUGAAUCUGAAAUCAUUUAGCAUACUUGACUGUUAACUGAACUAACUAUCCUGCGAGUGCAUCGGCUGCCAUCUGUCCAUUUCCUGACAGCCUUGUCAAGGGGGGAAAAAAAAAAAAUCCUGAGAGCUGGCAGAGGUCCAGUUUGCCGCAGGUCUGCUUUCUAGUGUUUUUGUAACAGAUGUUGUGCCACAUGCCCAAAGCUGCUGCCUAUAAUCUGCUGUGUGCUCAAAUUUUUAAUUUUGGGGAUGCCUGGCUGUUUCUGAUGCAAGAUUUGCAUUCAUCUUAGCCGGCCCAUUCUGGGGUGCCUUUGUUAUAAUGACAGUCUGAUGAAAUAUCCAAAACUCCCUGGAUCUGUCGUGGGUUUUCUGAUGACUUCAGUGGACCCUGAUCAGGCCUUGACUUGCAAUUGUUAAUAAGGUGCUUAUCUUUUUAUCUUUACUUUUUUUUUUUUAAAUAGCACUGAGUCUAUAAGGCACAUGACUUGAAAUUAGGAAGUCUGCACAGUGCUUUUAAGGAAGAGUGGUCAUGGUUUAUCUGGGAUGCUCUGGAGGGGUUACACACACAGCUACAAACUAGGAAUUACCCUGAAUUCUUCGCUCCUCUCUUAUCUUCCACAUACAACAUAAUUCCACAGUGAGCCAGUUUGUCCUAAAUGUAUGUAAAUCAACCAAGGUGAGAUGAAGAUUUGGGAACUGCCGUGUUUUUCAAUUCCAUGAUUAAAACGCCAUUUUCCUCCUGUGGAGUUCGAUGGCUGUCAGUAGAGCAGCAGGGGGGAAUUAUCUUCUUCCUGCAGCAACCCCUGCUGCUUCUGAUAGGAAAGAUUUCUUCUUCUCUCCUUCCUUUCUUUUCAUUAACAAAAAGGGGGGGAAAAAUAGGUCAAUUAGACAACGCAGCGUGCAGCAUCAUGCAUCUUCAGACACUUUCUGUAUGUUUUCUGUUUCAAGAGGUUUGUGACAUAAAAACUGCUAGCAGGGUUGUCUGCAGAAUGUUUCUUCCAUCCUAGUUUGUAUUUCCACUUGAUCAGCCUUUAGUGGCCUGCCUGUGUGCUUUCUUGGAGGAUGAGGAAUGGUUUGGCUUUGCGUCUGUUCAGCCGUGAAAGAAAGCACCCAUUGAUUUGCUGCUGGCUCGGUGUGUGUGCGUGUAAAUACAGUACAACAGGUGACCUAUUUUGUGUAUUGAGCAUGGGAAACUGAUCUCAGCAAUUUGCUUGUCAUCUUUCAGGACAAGCCUGUAGCUCAGUUUUGCAACAUGUGGCUCAACUCGCCUUUGUGCGCUAUCCGAGCUGCUUUGAGCCUCAAAUAUUUGGGUCGCGGUUCCUGCUUUUCAUAAUAUUAAUUGAGCGUAUAUGGAAAACAAAUAUGGUUAAAAAUCUGAAUCUUACUGGUUAGUCUUCAUCAUUUUUCAUCACAGAAUCUGCUAUUCUAUGAUUUUUGUCUGUUAAAUGCCAUUAACCUGUCAAGAAGAUUCUUCCCAUAUACAUUGCAGGGGUGAUAAGCUUGGGAUAUUUUGAAUUCUGGGGGAGGCCUUCAUAAUUUCUUUAAACUAGAACAGUGAAUGGCUAGUGAUCCUAGCAUGCAGGUCUCAGCCUGAGAAAUGCUGCUAGUUCAGGCUGUGUCUGCAGGCAUCUGUUACUCAGCAGCAAAUGUCACUCCCUCUCCAGCUCUGCUGUUAGAAAAUGCUAAAAAGGCAGGUAGGCAGUGAAAGUUUAAUGCCUCUGUAACGACCUGGAAGCUUACAAAUGCCUUAGCAUGCAGAAUACAAUUCAGCCAUAAUUGAUUGCAAAGUAUCGAUGAUGAUUUUAACCAAAUAAAAAUUAAAACAACAGAAAAGUUGCAGCAGCUGCCAGGUAAAAAGGACAACCAGAAAAAAAUCAAUUUAUGAUUCCAAGAAUGAAUGCUUUAUGAAUGUAUGCUGUAGUUUAUGGAGGUGAGUAACUGAGCAAGGUGACGCUUGUUUCUGCUGUGAAGUAGUACGAGAUGCAAACUACUUGUCUGCAGUUGGAAAAAGUAUAGUUUUCUUAAAAGAUUGGAGGUAACUGUAGUAAAAGCAGAGCAGGAAACUGCUGCAAUACCAAGCUGUCAUUAGCAAGUGGACAGGCAAACUUAGCUUAAGUCAGGUUGAAGAUCACUUAUGAUUUUUGUCCGAUAAAAUCCCACACCUCUGCAACUACAGCCUAACAGCAGAGCUGGAACAAGCAUUUGACUUUCUACACCAUGCACAGACUUACUUACAUAAAAACAUGUCUGCAAUAUUUCCCUAAAACACCAGAGAGCUAAUUCUACAGUAGCUACAUCAGGGCAGCUUUAGCGGUUCUUACCUGUUCAAAGUGGAGACAUGUUGACAGUUCUGGUGCGUAACUGCUUGUGCCAGAGCUCCAGGACGCGGCGCAACUCUGUGCUGGAUGCGUGGUGAUACUGAACCAUAUUUGACUAAUUGUGGUGCAAAUAGGUCAGAAGACAGGCAAGAAAAACAUAGGACUUGGAAGCUGACUUUAAAUAAGGCUACAUAGAAGCCUUAGUGGUUUUCCUUCUAUCUAUCCUUCUAAUCCUGAAGUUAGGCGCUCUCCCUCUCUCGCCUUCUCUCCAUUGCUUAGCAACACUCAUGGGUGAGCCUACUUAAAGCGGAGCUUUGUUCCCAAAUGUGAUUUCAGCAAUAUUUCCAGGCUCAAUGUUUCUGAGAUGGGAGAACUGAGACUUUCUCUCCCCACCACCGUUAGCCUGCUUCAUUAAAUAGUAUCUCUUCCUCUCUGCUUCUGCACCCCAGACAAGUUUCUUUUUUUUUUUUGCCUCUCCUGUUUUGAUCUAACCAAGGGUGAUGAAGAAGGCAGGAGGAGAUUUGAAUAAAGGUUUAAUUAUAGAGGGCACUCAUACAGAGUGUACAACAAAGCCAUGCGUUGGGCGUAGAUUGGAGUAUAAACGCAGAGAGGGUCAAGAGGAGAACUAUUUUUCCACUCAGUUUCCAAUUUGAUUUCAAGGUAGAGAUUCAAUAAAUGAUAUUCUUUGUGCCAACAGUUGCGUUCUGAAUUUAAUAUGACCAAUUGUUUCUUGCUACGUAACUUUGAACAGUAAUUUUACAUAGAAUGAAACUACAGUGGCUAAUUGCUUUCUUUGCAGUUCUUCUAAUUUCAGCAGCGAGUGAAGUAUCAGUAUUUCUUAGAAACUUUCUAUUUUGCAGACUAACCUGUGUUCAGUCCUAUUUCUAGAGGAAGAUCUGGUUUAUCCAUUCUUAUGCAGUUCACUGAACUUUGAGCUGUGUGUGUCUGUGUUUUCUGCAAGGCAGAAGAUGCUGAUACAAGUCUAUCUGAUCUUGAAGGCAAGCUAGUCCACUUACAAAGAUGAUUUCUGUUGAAAUGCAAGUGUUUUCUGUUGAAGUUUCUCAGUGUAUGGGUAGAACACUAAGGUUAUAUGAAACAUGUAGAAGCUGCUGGUAGGUCUACAAGAGUUGUAUUACUCUACUAGAGCCAUGACCGUGUCACUGAUGGCCCACUGAAAGCGCUCUGCUUUUUCAAAUGGAAUUCAAACGGAACCUCGGAGCUUUUCUUGGCAGUAUUGUGCAAUGUAAAUGCUUUCUUAUAUUUAGGCAUCUAUUUUGAGGUUGGUACCGAGACGGAUUUCCUAUGAAAACCUCAUGGUUUUGGGUGGCUUGUUGUUAAGAAGAGAUGAGGUAUGCAGUCUUGUGCUCUCUCAACCCUAAGACAAGGAAUAAGGUGAGGUUCCUCAGGAAAAAGUCAGAGCACAGAAGUUGUGGUAAAUCUCUACUAUGGUUUGUAGGGUCAUCAUAAAAUGGAUUUUGGGAUAAGGCUGUAGAGUUUUCCUGUGAUAACUCAGGGAAUUGUGAGGUACCCAAAUCUAAAAUAUACGUGCCUCGGAGUUUGUCCAGAUAGAAACCAAAUGAAAUUGAGUUACUGUGUAGUCUUAUGAGUUUUGUCAUGAUGCUUUGCUGUGGGAUUCCAUCCUUUUAACAUGAAAUUGUAUCAGCUGAGGCCUGAGUUAUCCCCAUGUGAGGUUAUUUACAAAAUAGGAGCAUGCUUUAAAGCUUUUAUGGCAGGAGUACUGAAGAACUUGGUGGUCCCUUGUUCUCUCCUGCUUGUUAGCUAGUGUUCCUGCUUCUGCACCUGCUUCUGUUGAACAAGUGCCGUUACCUUCAUAGUCUCAAUGUUGCUGUAUAAUUUCAAAAAUUAGUGCUAUUUUGAGGAAAUAAAUCAAACAUAGAACAGAAAAAAAAAAAGAUGGAAAGGUAAGUUCAGUCUUCUGGGUGAGGGAAGUGAGUUACUUCUGUAUCAUUGAUCUUAAGAUGUCAAAUUAAGUAUGCUUCCUGAUUCACGUGCUAACUGUUCUGUUUUAGUGUAGGAGCUGUUUCAAGUAUGAGGUCACUCAGGAGUGCUGUCUACAUAGCAGGUGGUAGAUCAAAUGCUUGUUAGGUGUGCAGUAUGUGCUUGGGAAUACUCUACCGCUUGCAGCCUCCUUCCCUGUGACUGCAGCUAUCCCCAAACCUUUGUUGCUGACAGAAAAGCUGACUUCUAGUGCAACUCUGUAUUGCUUUCAUUGUACGGUAAGCUAACUUCCCUUGCCCCCCCAGCUUUACCUUGAAAGGCCAAUUUCUUGGUGGGAUGUUUGAUGAAAGCAAGUACUACUAUGAGAUGUUGGUUGGUUAGAGUGCUGCAGAAAAGCACAGUCCUUGACUGUCUGUGUCCUGUACUUGUAAACUGAUACCUCUUUGCACUCACUGAGGCAUGUUUACUUAACUUUGCUUUGGACUUCUUGGAAUAAGUCCUACAGAAGUUAAAGAUAAUAUUCUGAAGAUGAAAGAAAAAAAAAACGAAAUGCACAAAUCAAACACGCUUAUUUUCUGUAUCAUUUAAUUCUACAUUUUUCACUGUCAGUGAAUCUGCAAUUCAACAGCAGAAUGUCUGUCUCUUUUUUUUCUCCUCUCAUUCAUUUAAGUGAACACUGCUUUUCAAGAGUUAAUUGAAGUCUGAGGAUACCACUUGCAGCACUCUCAUUGUCUGGAUGCAGUCCAUAUAACAAUGGUUAAGUGAAAGGGUUGCUCUGCUUUGCUCUCCAGCUCUUAUGGUAGAGGUGGUUUUCAAAGGAAGGUGUUAAAUGGUCUUGGGACCACAGCAUCCUCUAAUCUACCUCAAAGGUUUCAGGAGUUAUGCAGUUUGUAAAUGAAAUGCCAGGGAAAGCUGAUAAUUGCUUUGUUACUGUCACUGCUGCUUAUGCUUUAAAAAAGAAAGUCGCUAUCAUGGUAGGGUACUAUUGUAUCCUUUUUUAGGCAGAAUACAUUAGGAAUACAUUACGGUUGAUCUGGUCUGAGUGAACAAUAGAUGAUCAUUGGCAAGAUCUUUUGAAAAAUCAAUUGUCAUUUGCUUAAAAGUGCAUAAAAUUUGUAAAAUAGCUGGAUAUUCAAUUGAGAAUGUACAGCAGCAUAAUCCUCCUAUCUUCCUGACAUCUUCAAACCACUUGAACUUUCGAUCAGCAUGAAACAUGGCUAUGGCUCUGUCUGAGGCUGUGCAAGGCUGAGGCUGCUCCUGCAGUACUGUCCUACAGCCCCAUGUAACACCAAACAUUCAUGUGAUUCCUCAUACUGUUAGCUGGGAUUAGGCGUAGUGGUGGUGAUGAGGCUGAAGAUGAGCAUAUUUUUCUUGCUCUUUUCAUGUUCAAAGCACAUUACAGACAGUAUCUAAUGAAUCCCUACCACAGCUGGGUUAAAUACCACAAGUGGCUUUCCAGCUCAGCUGCUAUCAUUAUCAGCAUUUUGCAGGUGAUGGGAUAUUCUGCAUUUCCUCCUGUGUUGUUUCCUGUUGCACUUAGCUGGAAUCCUGCUGACCUUGUCAUGGAAGAAACCCUGAAAAACACUUUCAGUUGGAAGAAAAUUAAGUGCUCAACUUGAAGCUGUGGAAAACCGGAGCUGGAAAAGUAGAGAAACAUAAGUCUUGUUGUCUGACUGUCCUCAAAGACUGUGUUAGAGAAUCACUCUUGGAUUUUAAGAUGAUAGUUGUGAAUCCUAAACACUCAGAUUUUGGAAACUGCAGGUGUAACGAGCUUACCUUAUCACCUAUUUUCUUUCAACCUCAGAAUGCUACUAGCACUGUUAGCAGUUGAGACUGGAAACUUUCUCUGCCUCUUCUCCCAUUAGAGCCUGGCUUCUCUUCCUGGAGUUCUAGAUGAAAUUAAAUAACCAAGGAACAUGAUAUGUAAAAUCCUUCAGUAAGUUGCUUUGACUAUGAACUACAGCAUCUUUCAAAACUUUGCAGUCCUUUUACAACAGAGCCUGCCUGAUGUUAUACUACUCAGCUGGACAGCGUGUUGCUUCCUGUCCCACUUGGCCCAAAGUGUGUGCAGCAGUGGAGGAGCCUUUCUAGGACUCCUUAAAUCCAUGUGCCAACAAAGAUGCUGGGAAAUCCUUGUUUUUUUCCCAGAAGUUGGUACUUCUGAUGCAUAUAUAUUUUACUUCUGUACCAGUUCUGCUUAUGUUUUCUCCCUGUAGCCUUAGGGGAGGUGAGGUGGAGGCAAGUGACUCUAAGACCCCAUGCAGUGGUUUGGGCCCCAGUCCUGCACUUGCCUCAUUUUACUUGCAAGCACUUGUACUAAUUUUUUUUUUCUGCAAGGUAGCCUUUUGGGUCUAAAGGGCUUUUAAAAACUGGGGCUUGAAGGGCUGUACUUGUUCUACUGCAAUAGGUGGUUUUGUCCCAGACUUCAGUGGGAGCAGCAGUCAGCCUUAGCCAGGUAAGAAUUUUUUCCUAAUGUGGCUGCUUUAAUAAGGGCAUAUUGUCUCAUCAAUUUUUAAGCUAAACUCCCUGUAGAAAUCAAAGAAGAGUUCUGCAGAGCAAUCGAUAGUACAGUAUGACCCAUAGGUACUGCGUGUCUUACAAGAUUGAGCUGCUCUUUUUGCAACUUGGCCUUUUCCCCACCUCCUCCCCCUUUUUUUUUUUUGUUAAAACAUAGCAAAGCAUGUGCAAUAUCUUUGGAGCACGUAUUUAAGCAUGCCAUCUGAUGGCUGAAACUGCUUCAUUUCCUUUGGCUGUGGUGGAUAAGUUAGCUCCACAUGAAGCUUCGCCUCCUGCAGGCACCCGAAUAGCAUGUGAAAUAUUUACCACUUUAAUUGUGUGAGGCUUCAUUGAAAAUCUUAUUUUCCUGGCUAUGUGUCACUUAGAGAGGCAGCACUGAGCUAUUGCUGCAAAUGGGAGCCCUGACAGACAGGGAGCAUGGCACUUGUUUAACUAAGAACAGCAUGCAGGCUCACAUACCAUCAUGCUUAAGGCUAUAAUUCCAUUUUCUUCUGUAGGUAUUGUUUCACUGCCUUACUGUCUGCAAUGCAAGCUUUUAGUAUUCAAGAGGAAAAAAAACUCAAAGCCUGCCAAAUGCAAUGUCAUGUGCAAAAUAAUUUAAGUUUUGCAUAAUAGGCAUUUACUUAUUUUUUUCAAUUUGAAUGUGAUAUUCAGUGAAUGUAGAACAUUUCCUUUAAAGCAAAAAAAAAAGUCACAAAAACUCACUCUU
rnacentral:lncRNA from 1 species